AUGAAGGAAAUGGAAGAAACAGAGGGACACGUAUUUGCAGAAGAGGAGAAAGGAGACAGAGUGGAGGAGUGGGUCGGGGGCAGGGCCAUCAGGACCCUCCAUCACCAAAGGGGGACGAGCAGUAACAUGGAGAGGGGGGUCGAGGACAGUCGGGCUGCAGAGGACUUCCAUGAAGAUCAGGGCCAGCAGAUGAGAACAUCAUGUACUCCUCUCUGAAACACUACUACCUGCUGCUGCUUCUGCUCCUCCAACACCUGGCCCAUCCACUCCAGCUGCUGUUCCCACAGAGACCCCAAGGAGGAGACCCCUGAGUGACUCCAGACAGCAGCUGAUGGAGGUGGAGAGGAUGUUGCUGGAGGCCCUGAGGACCAGUCCACCUGCAGCAGGAGGUGGAGAGGAUGUUGCUGGAGGCCCUGAGGACCAGUCCACCUGCAGCAGGAGGUGGAGAGGAUGUUGCUGGAG